AGGUCAACGGAAUUUCAUAAUGUUCCAGUUACAGUCGACUGUUUCCAAGAAUUUAAUUCGCACACUUUAUUAUACAUGUAGUAUUUGCGUAAAUAGCCGCUUAUCAGUACAUUAUACCUUGUUUUCCAGCUAACCGCAUUUGUUGCGCGAUUAAUACAACGACGCAAGGAAAAAUACAAUUGAUGCGGUAUUUGCUCGGGUACAUAUCUUUUCCUCGUACAGAGAACCGUGGACGUCUCUUUGAAUAUGGAGUGCAAAUGACUUUCAGUGAUCAAGAAUUAUUUCGAUAUUUGGUUAAUCUGGAGAUAAUUCUUUGUACAUACUUGGAACGCUUGGGACAAAUGAUGAACUCUACUCGCUUCAUGACGAUGAUGCCACUUCUCACGUCGAAGAUGCAUAUCAGAUUUUCCUCAACCGAUCGACCGGCGAUGAAACAUCGGGGGAAUAAUGGCACCUGAGGCGUGGGAGUAUCCUGUGCGGGUACCUGUUCCUACGUACAGUCCUGGAAUCACCAGGUUCGGACAGAUUUCAUCAACGUCUGGAACUGGAUGAGUCGUAUAUGAUACGGAAAACCGACCUAAUAUUACAACAGUUUGGUCCCGUUUACUAUAAUAAGACGGUGCGCUUCACAAGUUGAUCACAUCGGGACUGAGGGUGACAGGAAGAAAAGGUUGAAAUUUUCGAUGAAGUAACAGAAUAAAGCUUCUCAUGAUCCUAAUUAGAUUUAAGGUGGAAAAUACGUAUCCUAAAGGAAACCGCAGCUUUUCAUGCGCGCGCAUCGAAGCAAUUGAUACCGCAAAUACGGAACAUCUGAAUUCUCUUAGAAAUUUAGCGCCACUUUAUGCAAUCAGCUGUUGUUCUGAUGCGAGCAGCGAUUCUUUCCUAAUAAAUUGAGCAAACGCAAAAGUAAAAACCUUUCCAGUCCGUGUCACGCAGGCGUGCGCGUGUGGCCUGGCAUUCGUUCGACAUCGAUUGUUGGUCUAGUUCACGGUAAACGUGGAGUAGACAUUUGAGAAACACAGAAAAUGUAAAAUUCUGAUACUGACGUCUGUAAUCACGCUUUGACGAUGGUAUAGAGGAGAAAGGUGCUAGAGGAUGCAUAUACUGUAGUGAUACUGUUACAUCGAACAAUUUUACAUCACAAGUUACGUAAAAUAUGUGUACUACAUAAGAGCUGUGUUGUCGGAUGUUUAUUUAUUACAGAAAUCGUUUCUAGCAAAAGAUAUUUAUUUCCAAAGAGUUACGAAAAAGCAUGACAGUUAUUCAGCUAAUAGUCCUAUGUUGAUCUACGUGUCUUUUUCACAUUACGGGAGGUCCGAUUGAUCUGGUGAGCGUCGUUUGAAUAAAGUGUAAGCAAUAGAAUUUUUCAGUUAAGAAAAAAAAGAGCUGAUCAAUUGGACAUUUUCAUGCUGUUUUUGGCGAAUUUGCAAAAUAAUAAGAUCAGUUCAAUCAGACAGUAAGCAAAACGAAUUUAUUGUGCACAGUCUCGACUCGCUGCGAACAAAUGAUCAGGAGUUACGGCUGGAAAACAUGAAUUUUCUUCGUGUUUUCUUGGUAUUCUCUCACCUGUUGGUGCUACUAUGUUUUGAAUGCCAUAUUUGCAAUCCUGAUCAUUGAAUGAGUUUCGAGGUGGUCGUUGAUUAUCGAUUCUGGGACAGAAGAUUUAUUGCUCGUGGAAAGAGUAAGGUAAGCCCUAUUGGAUUUAUUGUAAGAAUUUCAACGAUUUUCCGAAAUUCUGGGAUAGUGUUUCAUGCGCUGUGUCGGCUUCAUUUUGUGGGUGGAAAAGUGCUGGAAUCAAUUCUUUGUGGCACUAUUCCGACGUAAUUUUGCGAAAGGAAUCGAUUGGGCGCAGCCCGAAUACGCUGCGAGCAAUGGCUCAAAAGUUGUAGCCGAGAAGGCAGGAACACUUUCGGAUUUUUUCUUGCUGCCGGUCCUUUGCUGGUUCACAAUCACGAAAACUGCAAAGUCUUAUAUGUACUAUGGAUCAAAAGUGACGUCUGUAAUCCAUGAAAUUUUCAGCUAAUUCUAGAAAAGGUGUGAAAGAAUACUCACAAAUUCAUUGCUUAAAGGUUUGGUUUAUUUAAUAUAACCCAAUUCUUUUACAAGUGUGUUGCUAUCAGUGCCCCUCAAUUCCAUAAGUUGAUUAAUAGAGCUUAACUUAAAGUUCAAAAGCAGUUCAAAAAUAUGAUCAAACACUACGUACAUAAAAUAAUGUAUUUCGUAACAAGGAAGCAGACUCGGCAACUACGCGAGGUGAAAUGACCGUUGCAUCCUAGUUGCACAUGAUUUUUUAUGUAACAAGAGUUCGUCAAGCGUCCUUUUACGAAGCACGAAAUUGAGUAUCGGGUUGCAUAACGUCAGAUUUGUUGGCUACCGCGCACGCACGCAGUACUGAAUAGACCAGUCCUUAAUCCCAAGAGUGAAAAGUGGUCUUUUCAGUACUCCGCGCAUGCGCAUUUGUAAACUCACUCCACCGCCAUAGAAUCUGGUAUUUUGUGUACGGAAAACACGCGUGGAAAAACGCUCAAGACAUGCUUGCGAUAUAGAAAUCUAAUCAUCACACAAGGGCAAUGGUGUGCAGUAUACAUAUUCUACAAUCAGAAUAUGAAAAUUACUAUAUUAAAUAGUGAUUAUCAGAGUUGCAUAUUCCGUCUUAUAGUGUACUCAUUAAUUUGAUAGUCUGUUGAGCUCUGAAAUAAACUCCCGUGAGUGCUACCCGCAUCAUAAUGGGCAUAGAGGUUGUUUGUUAACACGUCUUGAUGGUGUCCAAAUUGAUAAAAAUAUACAUCCAAAAUCGAAUGUAACAUUAAUCGAAGUACAGUACAUGAUACAGUCAAGAUGAUAUGAGAAAUGAAAUUUAUAACAUAAAUCAGUAAGCCUUAGCUGUAAGCAGCUAUACAGAAUGAAAAUGAAUAUAAAUAGUAAUUAGAAUAAGUAUUAACAGAGAUCACCGAAUACGAUUUAAAAAUAAGGUAGUAAGCAAUUGUUAGAUAGAGUGACAUGUAACGCGAUGUUAAUAAGAGGAAUAAAAUCAGCAAUUUAUGAUUCAGAAAUCUGUCUAUACGUAUUCCGACAUUUAUUGUCCUCUAUCAAACUGAUGUGAAACCGACAUCAUGGUAUUAAACAAAUCUUGUCGUAGAACAUCUAAUCUUUCAAAUUUCUGCUGUUUCAUCUUGUUAUCAUCAGACGGCAUGCUCCCAGUACAUUCUAUGCUUCGAGCAUAUAUUAUUGCAGAGAGCUACAUGUCCCAUCGACAUCGCAAAACUGCAGCCGAAGUGAUGAGAGAGAAAGAUAUGUAGUAUUCUAGCGUCACUCCGUCUCUUUUACUCUGCAUUUGGUCAUUUGAUGAGAUCAGAGGAAAUGCAUUGACCAAUCAGGUGUAGAGCGAGAGAGGCGGAUUAUAACUAAAUAUACCUUUCCUUCUCACUUUUCCGCUAUACUUUUUGUACACGGAAAGCUAUCUCCAAUAGAAAAUGCUCUAAUAUUUU
rnacentral:misc_RNA from 1 species